AACGCAUAUUGCGCCUGCGCCUCGGCAAAGGCAUGUCUGCCUCAGCGUCGGUUUACCCCCUCCAACCUCUCUUUGCUUUCAAGCGAAGAGAGUUGGGAUGUGACCUUCCCUUUCUCUGGGUUGGUUGAAACCAAUGCCUGUGCCCACCAUCCAAACGAAGGCACAGAAAGGUAGGCCGCUUAUCCAAGCGGCACUGCCCCUGUGAUCUUCGGGUGAGAGCAGCUGGCUAAAAUCAGGAUUCUCUCUUUCAUCAUCUUGUGAAGAGAGUGAACACUUAAUCAAAAUCUGACCUGAGAUCAGGCAAGACCACCCGCUGAACUUAA
rnacentral:misc_RNA from 1 species